UACAGAGGUCUCGAGCGUUAGGCGGAAUCACUGGGCUUAAAGCGUGUGUAGGCGGAUGUCUAAGUACCUUGUGAAAUCCCACGGCUUAACCGUGGAACUGCUUGGUAUACUGGAUGUCUUGAGCCAUCUAGGGGCAACUGGAACGAAUGGUGGAGCGGUGAAAUGCGUAGAUAUCAUUCGGAACGCCGGUGGUGAAAACGGGUUGCUGGGGAUGUGCUGACGCUGAGACACGAAAGCUAGGGGAGCAAACGGG
rnacentral:rRNA from 1 species